UACAUAGGUAGCGAGCGUUAUCCGGAAUAACUGGGCGUAAAGGGAGAGUAGGUGGCGAAUCAAGUCUUUUGUGAAAGCCCAUGGCUUAACUGUGGGAUUGCAAAAGAAACUGAAUUGCUAGAGUGCGAGAGAGGCAAGUGGAAUUCCUAGUGUAGCGGUAGAAUGCGUAGAGAUUAGGAGGAACACCAGAGGCGAAGGCGACUUGCUGGCUCGUAACUGACACUGAUGCUCGAAAGCGUGGGGAGCAAAC
rnacentral:rRNA from 1 species